UAUAGAUGUGACAGCUGUCCCCUCACUGAUUGCCAGAAUUCAUUUGGCUACUCUCCUUGGCAAGGCUGGUGCCACUU
rnacentral:sRNA from 1 species